CGCGGGCGCUGUCCCCUUCAGGGAGGCGCGUGAGGAAAGUCCGGGCAACAAAGAGCACCAUAUUUCCUAACGGGAAGCUGCGGGCGACUGCAGAGACAACGUGACAGAAAACAACCGCCCCACUCAAGGGUGAGGGAGCAUGGCCCCCCAGCGGGGACUGUGCGCUAUCCACCUCCCGGGGCAAGGGUGAAAAGGUGGGGUAAGAGCCCACCGGGCUCCGUCGUGAGGCGGAGCGCCGCACGUCUUAUGGGUUGCAAGGUCAAGUAUACCGGCAUUUAAGGGCUGCUCGUCCAUUGCCGGGGGGUAGACUGCUUUAGCCGUGGCGGCGACGCACGGCAUAGAUAAAUGACGGACGGGCGCGAGCAUCAGCCCGAUGCCCGGUGAGCAUCCUUUGCCACCGGCCGAGCGCCUACAUAACCCGGCUUAUAGUCCGGCUG
rnacentral:RNase_P_RNA from 1 species